UGUACACUUGAGUCAUUUAACCAAUUUGUGCACAUAAUGAUGUAGAGGAGACAACAGGGAGCAAUUCCUUUUGUUCAUUUCCCUUUAAAAUUCGGACUCUAUUAUGGUUCUUUUAUUUUUAAAACUUCACCAUCCUUUUUUUACAUGGUUCUUAUUUUUUAUUUGAUUUUUCUUUGGGGGAUUGGGAUUGGACUGUUGGAGAGUAAGUCAACUGCAAAACCACAUCUGUAAUGCCUUUAGUUUUGUAAUUGUGCCAUUUGCUGAUUGAUGUUACACAUAACCUUUUGUUGUUAGCUGAGACCAACUAACCGCUAUUUCCAUUUAUUUACAG
rnacentral:misc_RNA from 1 species